GCAGCUCUAAAUGGGAGGUAAAUUUCUUCUAAAGCUAAAUACUGGCCAGAGACCGAUAGCGCACAAGUAGAGUGAUCGAAAGAUGAAAAGCACUUUGGAAAGAGAGUCAAAUAGCACGUGAAAUUGUUGAAAGGGAAGCGCUUGCAGCCAGACUUGCCUGUAGUUGCUUAUCCGGACUUUUGUCCGGUGCACUCUUCUGCGGGCAGGCCAGCAUCAGUCUAGGCGGUUGGAUAAAGGUCUCUGUCAUGUACCUCUCUUCGGGGAGGCCUUAUAGGGGAGACGACAUGCAACCAGCCUGGACUGAGGUCCGCGCAUCUGCUAGGAUGCUGGCGUAAUGGCUGUAAGCGGCCCGUCUUGAAACACGGACCAAGGAGUCUAACAUCUAUGCGAGUGUUUGGGUGUCAAGCCCAGACGCGUAAUGAAAGUGAACGGAGGUGGGAACCCUUUGGGUGCACCAUCGACCGAUCCUGAUGUCUUCGGAUGGAUUUGAGUAAGAGCAUGGCUGUUGGGACCCGAAAGAUGGUGAACUAUGCUUGAAUAGGGUGAAGCCAGAGGAAACUCUGGUGGAGGCUCGCAGCGGUUCUGACGUGCAAAUCGAUCGUCAAAUUUGGGCAUAGGGGCGAAAGACUAAUCGAACUAUCUAGUAGCUGGUUCCUGCCGAAGUUUCCCUCAGGAUAGCAGUAACGUAUUCAGUUUUAUGAGGUAAAGCGAAUGAUUAGAGGCCUGGGGGUUGAAACAACCUUCACCUAUUCUCAAACUUUAAAUAUGUAAGAAGUCCUUGUUACUUGAUUGAACGUGGACACUUGAAUGUACCGUUACUAGUGGGCCAUUUUUGGUAAGCACUGGCGAUCUGUCAUGUACCUCUCUUCGGGGAGGCCUUAUAGGGGAGACGACAUGCAACCAGCCUGGACUGAGGUCCGCGCAUCUGCUA
rnacentral:rRNA from 1 species